ensembl:lncRNA
UUCUCAAGUUAUCACGCAUUACUGAAAAAAAGUGAAGAAGGGACACUAUAUUUGUUAUCUAUUUUUCAUGUUGUGCGUAUAAUAAUUUACUUGAAAAGAGACACGUCCAUUGUUUAACUGCAUCAUCUACACAAACCAUUGUGCUUGGACCCCUUAUGAUCACCUGGACUUAAACCACAUUGUUUCAGUUACCUUCUGUGUCUUUGGCCACAACGCUUCAGUGACAGGAAUGUGAAAUAGCAAACAAGGGAACAAAUAAAAGGCAUGACUUUAUUUGCAUCCAGCUAGCCAACUCUAUUACAGAUGUUCCACAGCCAAGACUCUUAUUAGAAUAGAAAAUAGCAAGGGUUCGAAUAAAUAGUUUAUUAAUCAUUUAAUUUCACUUUCUUAAUGAAUAUUGUUCUGUGUAUGUGAUUUCAAAGUCUUGAUGCUUCGGAUUAACCCGUUAAUUGCCGUAUCCCUUAAAACCUGAGUGCCAGAGGAUUACUGUAAAUGCAUGUGCCCGCUGGGCACAGUUUACCUGAUGCCACCGGGGUGGCGUUUGCGCUGAUGGCUUGAGCCCGCCAUCGCUGCUUGCAGCUAUAUUUUUAAUUGUAUUGACAACAUAUUUCUCAAGUUAUCACACAUUACUGAAAAAGUGUAGAAGGGACACUAUAUUAGUUAUCUAUUUUCAUGUUGUGCAUAUAAUAGUACUCACAUAAGGACUCAUAAUUUACUUGAAAAGAGACACGUUCAUUGUGUAACUGCAUCAUCUACACAAACCAAUGUGCUUGUACCCCUAAUAAUCACCUUGACUUAAACCACAUUGUUUCAGUUGCCUUCUGUGUCUUUGCCCACAACGCUUCAGUGAAAGGAAUGUGAAAUAGCAAACAGGGGAAAAAAUAAAAGGCAUGACUUUAUUUGCAUCCAGCUAGCCAACUCUAUUACAGAUGUUCCACAGCCAAAACUUUUAUUAGAAUAUAAAAUAGCGAGGGUUCGAAUAAAUAGUUUAUUAAUCAUUUAAUUUCACUUUCUUAAUGAAUAUUGUUCUGUGUAUGUGAUUUCAAAGUCUUGAUGCUUCGGAUUAACCCGUUAAUUGCCGUAUCCCUUAAAACCUGAGUGCCAGAGGGUUACUGUAAAUGCAUGUGCCCGCUGGGCACAGUUUACCUGAUGCCACCGGGGUGGCGUUUGCGCUGAUGGCUUGAGCCUGCCAUCG